GGGGGGGUAGCUCAGUGGGUAGAGCGCAGCGAAUUUGCCUUUCAUUUAUUUUUCAUCCUGGCAGUUGGAUCAGCGAAACGAAAACCUAAAAUAUGGAUGGCACCUUCCUGAGGUCCUGGGUUCGAAGCCCAGUUCUCCCA